GUAUCCUCAGUCUACACUUGGCAAUCGGCCUUUGUAUAUAAAAUGGGCCUCUCUCCAGUCACCACAACACACUUCGACUUCUUUCGACGAACAUGAAGCUUACGUGUCUCCUGUUGGUGCUUCUGGUGGUAGUGGCGGUGGUUUCCGGCGAGCCUCAUAAAGGAAAAGGGUUCGGUAAGAAAGGUGGUGGAUUCCGUGGGCGCCCCAUACACAUAGUGCACCAGCCUGUGCCAGUGUAUUACCCCGUCCACUACGGCGGUUAUGGAGGAGGCUACGGAUACGGAGGCUAUGGAUACGGUGCGCGAAGUGGCUACGGUCACUUUAGUGGCUAUGGGCGGUGAGCUCUUUGGAUUGAAACACCGCCAAGAUGGGUCUGCUAGCGUCAAUUCAGGACAGCCUCCUCAUUAUGGAAAACCGCAUGAAGCUUGUUCUGGACGUCGGUAGCCAUAUCAUCUGUGUCGUCUUCGCUCACGAUAUUAACAUAUUGUACACACACACACACACACACACACACACACACACACAGAUGAGUAUUGUAUUCUAAUUUAUAUUUAUGAAAAAAAUAAAUAAAUAAAAAGCUCUGUGAAAAAAAAAAAAAAA